rnacentral:ribozyme from 13 species
AACAGGAAAAUAGAAAUAAGAAAAUGAUUUAUUGCAAAGCUCCUGUUGAUCGUUUUUCCUCUUCCCUCCCUUCCUCUUUUUUUUUUUUUAACACAUCUUCCAAUGAUAAUCGUCAAGACCUGGGUAAAG